rnacentral:rRNA from 1 species
CCUACGGGAGGCUGCAGUGAGGAAUAUUGGUCCAUGGGCGGGAGCCUGAACCAGCCAAGUCGCGUUAGGGAAGAAGGUACUGAGUAUUGUCAACCUCUUUUGCCAGGGGACAAAGGCGGCCACGGUUGGCCGUAAGAGGGUACCUGGAGACAAAGCAUCGGCUAACUACGUGCCAGCAGCCGCGGUAAUACGGAGGAUGCGAGCGUUAUCCGGAUUUAUUGGGUUUAGGGGGUGCGCAGGCCGCGUGUCAAGUCAGCGGUAAAAUGUCGGGGCUCAAACCCGGCCGGCCGUUGAAACUGGCGUGAUCGAGUUGGAGAGAAGUAUGCGGAAUUCGUGGGGUAGCGGUGAAAUGCAUAGAUAUCACGAAGAACCCCGAUUGCGAAGGCAGCAUACCGGCUCCACACUGACGCUGAGGCACGAAAGCGUGGGUAUCGAACAGGAUUAGAUACCCGAGUAGUC